GCCAGUGUGGCGUAGUGGUUUGAGUGUUGGAUUACAAGUCUGUAGACCAAGGUUCAAGUCCCAUCUCUGGUC